AGAGAGGAAGCUUUUUCGUACUACAUUGUUCGUAUUUUUAUACUUCGACUAUUUAUAAAAUUAUUGAUUCGUAAGGCGGCAGUCUCGCACACAAAAUAUUAAUGCUCGUGACUGUCCAUACAUGUGUGAGUGUGUAUGGAUUGUGUCUUUAUGGUUGACAGGAACUUGAUCCUAUUUCUGUGCAUACAUCUAUUUUGGUUUGGGUGUUGCGCAAAUGUCACACAAGAGACAAUUUUAUGCGGACCCUUUUGUUUGGUUCCCACACAAUAAAAUCACACAGCAUAUGCUGUGACAUUUUCCUUUUUAUAAACAAUAACAACAGCAACUACAGUAGCAGCGGCGACAGUGGCGAUGGCAACAGAAAAAAAGGCUUCGUUCCGUUGUUGCUGGCUGCUGGAAAUCACAUCAAUGAUCCAGCGAAUUGAGUGUGAAAAUGAGUCGUCUCCAUUGUGUCAAUCGAUGCCGACCAUUCGAUAAAAUCAAUAGUUUUUCGAUUGACGUGAAAGACAUACUACGCAAGUGAAGCCAAACAAUAGACCUUAUAAUGGAUAUGAAGCAACUAAUUUACAUGUUUCAACUGCUAAUACAUUUUGUCCAACAACAACAGCAACAAUAUCGAAAGAACACGUAUUUCUCAACACCUUGCGAAGAUUAUUUGUGGCUUUAUUGUUGUUGACCAGUUGCGAAGAAACGCAAAAAAAUAGCAACAACACAAGGACAAUAAAUAAACAGCACUUGGCUUCGGAUUGCGAAUGAACGCGCGCGCGUUUUUUGUGUCUCUUUAUCUCUCUGCUGGGUUAUGAUUCAUGCCAGUGAAGUAGUUAAUAACCAUAGUUUUCAUAGCCGUUCAUGAUAUUUAUAAAUUCAUUAUUUAAGUGGCAUUCAAUUGAAGAACAUUGGAAAACGACGCGCAAACAAUAUGUGUUGUGAUUUUCGAAAUGCCAACAAAAAUGCAUUUUCGCAUCGACGUUCCUUCGUGCGCCUUUGUUUUGCCAAAGUACAACGAAACCACAGCGCAUUCAACCAAUAACAAAUUUAUUUAUAUGUAUGUAUAAUGCAGGAGAUGAAUAAAGAACGACUUGAAU